rnacentral:lncRNA from 1 species
CCUGCUUCCCUGCCCACAUGCAGGGUGAUGGGUGAUGGCAGACUGGCCUCCUGGGGACGUGCUGGGAGUGCCAGCCUGCCUUGGGGCGGGUUACUGGCAAAGAUCCUCCCUCAGUCCUGCAGUAGAUCCCAUCGCUCUCUCUGUUGCCCUGGCAACCACCUCAGCAAGGAGAAGCUCGGGCUCAGCAAAGGUUCUCCGCCCUCCCAGCCUUCCUUUCGGUGCCCUGCCAACCCUUGCCCUCCAGGCUGACACACAGGCCUCCUAUCUUGGGGAGACUCCGAACAGCAAGGACUUGGAAUCUCCCGGCAUCUGCAGCCCACAUGGCUUGGGCUGCACCUCAGGCAGUGAUGUUCAACCCAGGCCAUUCUAGCCACCUGGGGUGCUGUUCAAAAACACCUCCGCCUCAGGCCUGCCUUGAGUGCCUCAUCUCACCCAUCGGGCAUGUGGCCCUAGCAUCAGCGUUUCUGGAAGCUUCCAUGUGGUUCCGGGGUGCAGGGCACUGCUGGCUCCCCUCCUGACAUCUCUGGAGCUUGGUCACUGCCUUCUAUCCUUGAGUAGUUAGAGGGGUGCUCGAGUCCCGUUCCCCAAGCUUUUAGUUUCCAGAAGUCUCAGUCCCUUUUAUUUCCAGUUCCCAAUCCCCCCACACUCCCCAAUUCCUCACCCUUCCUGACAAUCCCAAAUCCUGCCCAGAGAGGAGGUUACCAAGGCAACCAUCUUAAUCUGGUAACUGUGGCAUGUGCUGGAAGAGAAGCCCUCCCCUCUUCCCCUCUUCCUGUUUCCAUCACAAAAUGCUACCUGGGCAGCUUCAGCCAGCAUCACCUUUCGACUCCAGGAACGCUGAGUGUCCACAAAGGCAGCCCAGGAACUGACCUUUAGACCUACCUUGUUAGCCACAGUUGUGCUCCAGCUUUCUGUUGUCCCCUCUCCAAACCCACAGAUGGGUGUGCGGAGCUUUGUUUCUGUGAACACAUGCUCUAGCACACAUGGCCCAGAGAAGCACAUACGAGUCCCGGGGUAGUGCACACCCUGUCAGUUCCACUGCCGCUCCCAGCAGUUCCGUUCCUGCCCGCACCUGGCUGUGCACCGUCAAGGAGCCUCAACCCACUUCAGGCCUGGUGCCACAGCCUGGCCUGGGAGUGCUCAGCCCGUGUCUCAAUCCCCUCCUCCUGGGCAGAGCACCUAGGGACACACUGCUGUGGGCCUGGGCAUCAGAGGGCAGCUUGGGGUCCGGCUUGGCACCACUUUCCCACACCAGGGUGGUGUGCCCUGGCUCUGAUUGCUGAUGUCCCAUGGCAGCUCCAGGGCCCUUGUCACCCCUUUUGUGGCCUGAUUCCCCCUGCUGUCCUCUUCCCCCUCCCCUCUGCCUACUAUCUUUUCUCACCCCAAGACCUGCCACAACCUGCUGCUUUCUGCCUGCCAGUACCUGCCUCACAGGCC